rnacentral:rRNA from 1 species
AUUGAACGCUGGCGGCAGGCCUAACACAUGCAAGUCGAGCGGCAGCGGGAAAGUAGCUUGCUACUUUUGCCGGCGAGCGGCGGACGGGUGAGUAAUGCCUGGGAAAUUGCCCAGUCGAGGGGGAUAACAGUUGGAAACGACUGCUAAUACCGCAUACACCCUACGGGGGAAAGCAGGGGACCUUCGGGCCUUGCGCGAGUGGAUAUGCUCAGGUGGGAUUAGCUAGUUGGUCAGGUAAUGGCUCACCAAGGCGACGAUCCCUAGCUGGUCUGAGAGGAUGAUCAGCCACACUGGAACUGAGACACGGUCCAGACUCCUACGGGAGGCAGCAGUGGGGAAUAUUGCACAAUGGGGGAAACCCUGAUGCAGCAAUGCCGCGUGUGUGAAGAAGGCCUUCGGGUUGUAAAGCACUUUCAGCGAGGAGGAAAGGUUGAUGCCUAAUACGUAUCAACUGUGACGUUACUCGCAGAAGAAGCACCGGCUAACUCCGUGCCAGCCGCCGCGGUAAUAC